UGGGGAAUAUUGGACAAUGGGCGAAAGCCUGAUCCAGCCAUGCCGCGUGUGUGAAGAAGGCCUUUUGGUUGUAAAGCACUUUAAGUGGGGAGGAAAAGCUUAUGGUUAAUACCCAUAAGCCCUGACGUUACCCACAGAAUAAGCACCGGCUAACUCUGUGCCAGCAGCCGCGGUAAUACAGAGGGUGCAAGCGUUAAUCGGAAUUACUGGGCGUAAAGCGCGCGUAGGUGGUUAUUUAAGUCAGAUGUGAAAGCCCCGGGCUUAACCUGGGAACUGCAUCUGAUACUGGAUAACUAGAGUAGGUGAGAGGGGAGUAGAAUUCCAGGUGUAGCGGUGAAAUGCGUAGAGAUCUGGAGGAAUACCGAUGGCGAAGGCAGCUCCCUGGCAUCAUACUGACACUGAGGUGCGAAAGCGUGGGUAGCAAACAGGAUUAGAUACCCUGGUAGUCCACGCCGUAAACGAUGUCUACCAGUCGUUGGGUCUUUUAAGGACUUAGUGACGCAGUUAACGCAAUAAGUAGACCGCCUGGGGAGUACGGCCGCAAGGUUA
rnacentral:rRNA from 1 species